CUUCUGACCAGCUGUAGAAAUACGGCCUUCCCGCAAGGGACAGGAGUAUAGGCGCUGCAUGGCUGUCGUCAGCUCGUGCCGUGAGGUGUUGGGUUAAGUCCCGCAACGAGCGCAACCCUGCACGUAGUUGCCACUCGCAAGAGGGAACUCUACGUGGACUGCUCCGGAUAACGGAGAGGAAGGUGGGGAUGACGUCAAGUCCGCAUGGCCUUUAUGUCCAGGGCUACACACGUGUUACAAUGCAGGGCACAAACCGUUGCCAACCCGCGAGGGGGAGCUAAUCGGAAAAAACUCUGCUCAGUUCGGAUUGCAGUCUGCAACUCGACUGCAUGAAGCCGGAAUCGCUAGUAAUGGCGUAUCAGAUCGACGCCGUGAAUACGUUCCCGGGCCUUGUACACACCGCCCGUCACAUCACGAAAGUGAGCUGUACUAGAAGUCGCCGCGCUAACCGCAAGGAGGCAGGCGCCCAAGGUAUGACUCAUGAUUGGGGUGAAGUCGUAACAAGGUAAGCGUAGAUGA
rnacentral:rRNA from 1 species